UACGUAGGGUGCAAGCGUUAAUCGGAAUUACUGGGCGUAAAGCGUGCGCAGGCGGUUAUGCAAGACAGAUGGGAAAUCCCCGGGCUCAACCUGGGAACUGCAUUUGUGACUGCAUGGCUAGAGUACGGUAAAGGGGGAUGGAAUUCCGCGUGUAGCAGUGAAAUGCGUAGAUAUGCGGAGGAACACCGAUGGCGAAGGCAAUCCCCUGGACCUGUACUGACGCUCAUGCACGAAAGCGUGGGGAGCAAACAGG
rnacentral:rRNA from 1 species